UAGGGGAAUAUUGCUCAAUGGGGGAAACCCUGAAGCAGCAACGCCGCGUGGAGGAUGAAGGUUUUCGGAUUGUAAACUCCUUUUGUUAGAGAAGAUAAUGACGGUAUCUAACGAAUAAGCACCGGCUAACUCCGUGCCA
rnacentral:rRNA from 1 species